GAGGUCUCACCUCUCACUGAGAUGCAACCAGAACCUACCAGAGAACUAGUCUUCAAAUCAGAUUCCUGGAGGUGAGAACAUCUACGGGAAUGCUGGACAGAUGGGAAGCUGUGUGGCAGAGCAAUAUCAGUAGCGAGAGACGUGGCAUCUCAUUCCAGCUGGGCCCACUUUUUUAGACAUGGACCAGUGCCAAACUCCUGACAACAUUCACAAGGCAUUAUCUUGAUGUGAGACAGAAAAUGUUGGAAAAUGGAGGGGCAGGAGCUGUGUGUUGGGAGCACAGAACAGGGAAUGUGCGAGGACUUGUUUGAAGUGUUCCUUCAGGACGAAGCAUAGACUGCUAGUCACUAUCAGGAUCUUCUGAAGAUCCCUUGCCAACUCCUCCCCUAGAGAAACUAAGACCCAUGGCGCCGUUUCCAUUGCUGGCUUUCUAUCACAUUGCACAUCAAUAGAAGACACAGAAGAUCAUCUGUUUGCUUAUUUCUCUUCAGCUACCUGUAAUACUAUAUCAAAUCUGGGUAUCACAUUUUAAGUGGAACAUUGAAAAAUUAUAAAGUGCUCAGUAUGUUGAAGGCUGGAAAUAAUCUCUAACAGGCAAGAGUGAAAGAUCUGGGAUACUUAUGCCUAGAGAAGAUAAAGCUAAGAGGAGCCUGGUAAUGACUGUCAAGAAUUUGGAGGGCUGUUAUGAAGAAGAGUGGAUCCAUUUUGGGUGGAGGCACCUGCAGCAGAGUUAGAGUCAAAGCAUUGGAUACAGUCCCCAGCCUGCCACACAUUAGCUAGAGGACUUUGGACAAUUCACCUAUCUCCCUGUGGCACACUGCAUUGUCUGAAAAUGGCUGCAAUAAUACUUCUGGUCCUACUUGUUCUUUGACUCUAUCAAGAGAAAGCGUCUCUGACCCCUUCUUGUGAACCUAGGUGGGCCUGUAUGACUCCUUUGACUAAUAGAGUAUGGUAGAAGUGAUGCUAUGUGACUUCCAAGGCUGAGUUGUGAAAGACCAUUUGGCUUCUGCCUGGCUCUCCCUCUUGAGGCAUGGGCCUUUGGAGCCCUGAGCCACCAAGUAAGAAGCCACCACGUCAGAAACUCUGAUGCUGCCAUGCUAGAGAGACACAUGCAGUCUCCAUGGAGGCAGAGAUGCGCCAGGCACUCCAGGUGCUGUCUGACUCCCACUUCAUGAGAGACUCCAAGAAAGAACCACCGAGGACCAUGAAAGAUAAUAAAAAAAGGAAGCU